CUUUUAUAAAAAAAGAAACUGAAGACUGUUAAGUGCCUUUCAUAUUGGUAAUCAAUUUAUAACUAUAACAAUUAAAGCUUGGCUCUGGCUUACAAGUAUAAUAAAAACUAAAAAAUACACAUGGUUUUUAUUGAUUGAGACGAGGAAAGAUAUAAUUGUUUUUAAUAUAUAAAAUUCUAAAACAAUUCCAUCUUAUGAUAUUAUUAUAUACAUGAUAUUUUGAAAAGUCCCGUUAACACCAGUGUCUGAGGUUAAGUAAAAAGCGAAAGCUUGUAUUAAUUUAGUUUUUAAGCCUGGUUAACUUGGUGCCAGCAUCCGCGGUUACACCAAGAGGCUAUAUUAUACAUAUUAAGGUAAAAAGGUGGUUAAAUAUUUAAGUUAAAAAUGGUUUAUUAACUUCUUAUUAAAGAGUAAAAUCUACAUAUAAGUAAAUAAUCUAAUAUAAGCUAAUUUUUAUAUAUUGACUCCGCGAAACCCUUGAGGGAAACUGGGAUUAGAUACCCCACUAUUCUUGGAUAUAAAUUAAUGUAAGUUUACCAGAGUACUAUGAAUCUUUUGAACAAAUUUAAAACUCAAAGGGCUUGGCGGUGUUUUAGACCUCUCAGGGGAACCUGUCUCAUAAUCGACAAUCCACGCUAGACCUAACCUUUAUUUGCCAAUUCAGUUUGUAUACCGUCGUCGUCAGGUAACUUUUAAAAAAUAAGAAGUUAGCAAUAAAAUAGUUUUAAGUUUAAACGUCAGAUCAAGGUGCAGCUAAUAUAAAGGUGAGGAUGGGUUACAAUUAUUAAUUAUAAUUACGAAAAGAUAAUUGAAAUAUUAUCUUCUGAAGGAGGACUUGAAAGUAAAAAAAACUAUGUAAAUAUCUUGAAUAAGGCUCUGAAACAUGCACACAUCGCCCGUCGCUCUCGUUGAAAAAUGAGAUAAGUCGUAACAUAGUAGAGGUAAUGGAAAUUGUUUCUGAAUG
rnacentral:rRNA from 1 species